UAAUCUACCCUUAAGAUGGGGAUAACGGCUGGAAACGGUCGCUAAUACCGAAUACGCUCCCGAUUUUAUCAUUGGGGGGAAAGAUGGCCUCUGCUUGCAAGCUAUCGCUUAAGGAUGAGUCCGCGUCCCAUUAGCUAGUUGGCGGGGUAACGGCCCACCAAGGCAACGAUGGGUAGCCGGUCUGAGAGGAUGACCGGCCACACUGGAACUGGAACACGGUCCAGACUCCUACGGGAGGCAGCAGUGGGGAAUAUUGCGCAAUGGGCGAAAGCCUGACGCAGCGACGCCGCGUGAGGGAUGAAGGUUCUCGGAUCGUAAACCUCUGUCAGGGGGGAAGAAACCCCCUCGUGUGAAUAAUGCGAGGGCUUGACGGUACCCCCAAAGGAAGCACCGGCUAACUCCGUGCCAGCAGCCGCGGUAAUACGGAGGGUGCAAGCGUUAAUCGGAAUCACUGGGCGUAAAGCGCACGUAGGCGGCUUGGUAAGUCAGGGGUGAAAUCCCACAGCCCAACUGUGGAACUGCCUUUGAUACUGCCAGGCUUGAGUACCGGAGAGGGUGGCGGAAUUCCAGGUGUAGGAGUGAAAUCCGUAGAUAUCUGGAGGAACACCGGUGGCGAAGGCGGCCACCUGGACGGUAACUGACGCUGAGGUGCGAAAGCGUGGGUAGCAAACAGGAUUAGAUACCCUGGUAGUCCACGCUGUAAACGAUGGGUGCUGGGUGC
rnacentral:rRNA from 1 species